AAUCCAUCUCAUAGGGACUUGAACCUGCGACCUUCCAGCGUGUAGCAUAGUGUCUCAACCAACUAUGCUGCCGUGUGCCCCCAGUUAAUAAAUAAACGGAUGCUGAGUCAACCUCCCGGUCACAGUGCAGCUGGAAGGAUUAGGUUAAUUGAAAAAUUAAAUGAACUCAUUAGGAAUAAAAUUUGCAACCUACUGGCUUGUAGCACAGUGCCUCAACCAACUACACUACCUCAUGCCCCAAUGCUAAGACAGGUUUCCAUUUAACAGUUACUUCUUGGGAGGGGCCUUCAUCUUCAGGGUUCCGGAAAGAUCACAGAGUAGAGUCAAAACUAAGAGAGAUACCUGGUCUUCCAGGCUGGGGGUUGGGCAUGAGGCUCACAACCUCAUCCCGUAAAAAGAAUUUUGUUCAGAAACCUAACA